GUAAAUUUAGCGCAUGAUCUCAUUAGUAGUAGUUUAACAUGAUUUUACAUGUGCGGACUUGAGAAGUGACCAAUCUUGGUUUUACCCUUACUCUGCCAACGUACUUGAAUAUAUUGGUUGCAUUUGUUCUUCGAGAGAUCUAGUUGUUUUUGUUUUGAGAAAAUCAAAUGAGCCAAUGUCUUGAGAGAGUUGAGUUGAUGUCCUUUUAUUCAGGUUCAUUAAUUAUGGGAUUGAGCUUUGGUAUGGUUGCAAUCACUUAAUACUGUCUCCCUUGCAGGUUCCAUUGAGAAGUGACCAAUCUUGGUUAGUUAUGUAAAAUAUAAAUAUUGAUGAAUGGGGCCAAUAGCUGCUGCGGUUACAAGUUUUCUGUUGGAUGCGGCUUGUAGUUGAGCUCAUCGCAGGCUAGGCUGUAUGAUGUAUAAAUGAAGUGGGUUUAGAGACAAGUUAUUGUGGCCCUUUGUCAGGUGGUGGAUGUGUAUGGCCUGCUUCACAAGUUCGAUCCAAACCACUUAGAAACUCAAAAACUGUCUGAACCAUUGUGAGCUGUCUGUUGAACUGCUAAAAAGUUGUACAAACUGCAGUUGAACACGGAUCAACUGUUAGGUUUUACCGUAAUUACAAAUGUAAACAGAUGUAAAUCUAUGGACAUGGGGAUGAUAUCACAGUUCAAGCUGGUGGUUGAAAUUGGAAGCACACUGUUAUACCUCUUCAGCACCUUGUAAGCUUUGGUCUUAACCUUGUCAGCCAAGCUUUCGAAUUUCAGAACAAUAGCUUGGAGUCUCAUCAGCAUUUCCUGAUAUUUGGAGGAGGUGGCAGGCUAUGCCUUGGCAAGGAAUUGGCUAUAGUAGAGAUUUGUACAUUCCUUCAUUACUUUGUGACUAAAUACAGGUCAGCUACAUGAUUCUCAUGUUACACUUUCUAAGUUUCAAUAUGAAAUUAGAGUUUGAAGAGGACCUUCCAAACAUUA